AACGAACGCUGGCGGCAUGCCUAACACAUGCAAGUCGAACGAGACCUUCGGGUCUAGUGGCGCACGGGUGCGUAACGCGUGGGAAUCUGCCCUUGGGUUCGGAAUAACAGUUAGAAAUGACUGCUAAUACCGGAUAAUGUCUUCGGACCAAAGAUUUAUCGCCCAGGGAUGAGCCCGCGUAGGAUUAGCUAGUUGGUGAGGUAAAGGCUCACCAAGGCGACGAUCCUUAGCUGGUCUGAGAGGAUGAUCAGCCACACUGGGACUGAGACACGGCCCAGACUCCUACGGGAGGCAGCAGUGGGGAAUAUUGGACAAUGGCGAAAGCCUGAUCCAGCAAUGCCGCGUGAGUGAUGAAGGCCUUAGGGUUGGUAAAGACUCUUUUACCCGGGUACGUGAUAAU
rnacentral:rRNA from 1 species